rnacentral:siRNA from 1 species
AGAACUCCGCAGUUAAGCGUGCUU